rnacentral:lncRNA from 1 species
UCAAACUCGCAGAGACAGAGGAGGAGAAACAAGUCAGUUUCAGGUUUAUAUUGAUAAUGGAAAACUCAAGGUGGAGUUUAGAGAGUUACCUGUGAGCAUAGAUGCGAGGCAGAAGUUUCAGCUCAAGGUGGAGUAGCUGAAACACAAGAACAAUUCACUCAAAGGUAUUAUGUAGUCGGAUGAAGAAGUUUAAAGUUUAAGGAUGACCUGAGAAAACGUCUUAAACAGCAAGAGAAGCUGAAUGGAGACGAGUAUCUAGGUCGGGGAAAUAAGAAAUGGAUCACCGGAGAGGAGAGAACGUCGUAAACAGCUGCUAUGGUGGACGAUAAUCACCAAGGAGAGCUGAAGGGAGACGAGUAUUCCAGUCGGGAAAACAAACCAGAUCAUCAAAUAAGUAUAACAUCACAGGCAC